GCCGAAGUGGUGGAACUGGUAGACACGCUGUCUUGAGGGGGCAGUGGGAGUAAUCCUGUGCGGGUUCGAGUCCCGCCUUCGGCA
rnacentral:tRNA from 2 species